UUUCAGUAUUACUAAUCCCAAAGUGAUGUUAAAUAUUAGGGUGUCGGUUAGCAUUAGCCAUUAGGGAUCGACUUUGGGUUAAGAUUUUGGAUUGAAUUAGGCUUAGAGUAUGGGUUAAGGUUAGAGAUUGGAUUAGGGACAGGAUUGCACAAAACACAAUCAUUUCAUUUUGAAAGAACUUCCACAAGUGCAUAAAGUAAGAAGUCCCAUGUUAAUCAUAAAUUGUAAAUAUUAAUAUAUCUUCA